rnacentral:rRNA from 1 species
UAGGGAAUCUUCCACAAUGGACGCAAGUCUGAUGGAGCAACGCCGCGUGAGUGAAGAAGGUUUUCGGAUCGUAAAGCUCUGUUGUUGGUGAAGAAGGAUAGAGGCAGUAACUGGUCUUUAUUUGACGGUAAUCAACCAGAAAGUCACGGCUAACUACGUGCCAGCAGCCGCGGUAAUACGUAGGUGGCAAGCGUUGUCCGGAUUUAUUGGGCGUAAAGCGAGCGCAGGCGGAAUGAUAAGUCUGAUGUGAAAGCCCACGGCUCAACCGUGGAACUGCAUCGGAAACUGUCAUUCUUGAGUGAAGAAGAGGAGAGUGGAAUUCCAUGUGUAGCGGUGGAAUGCGUAGAUAUAUGGAAGAACACCAGUGGCGAAGGCGGCUCUCUGGUCUGCAACUGACGCUGAGGCUCGAAAGCAUGGGUAGCGAACAGG